UACAGAGGGGGCAAGCGUUGUUCGGAAUUACUGGGCGUAAAGGGCGCGUAGGUGGCCAACUAAGUCAGACGUGAAAUCCCUCGGCUUAACCGGGGAACUGCGUCUGAUACUGGAUGGCUUGAGUUUGGGAGAGGGACGCGGAAUUCCAGGUGUAGCGGUGAAAUGCGUAGAUAUCUGGAGGAACACCGGUGGCGAAGGCGGCGUCCUGGACCAACACUGACACUGAGGAGCGAAAGCCAGGGGAGCAAACGGGAGUUAG
rnacentral:rRNA from 1 species